GCUCCAGUGGUAUAAUGGAUAAUACAACGGUCUUCGGAACCGUUAAUGGGGGUUCGAUUCCCUCCUGGAGCA
rnacentral:tRNA from 1 species